UAAGCAGUAACCAGCAGCAGAGAUUUAUUUGCAUUAUGCUGACCCAAUAAAUAAAACUGAUCUUGACUCUGUAAUGUGGAGUGAAGAAAAAGCAAGUAAAAAAAUGUACUGGGAAGGAAAGAAACCGAACACCAAGCAGAGAGAGAGUCUUAAAGGGAAAGACCAUCAUUUAGCAUCUAAGCUGAGCAACUUCUUCCUUGAAAAAAGGAAUCUGGGUCAUCUGUGUGAGACCCUGAUGUUGUGA
rnacentral:lncRNA from 1 species